AUGAUGAUUCACAAAAAUCAAAACUCAGCAGCUCUGACAAGUUGGAGUCGCACUGAAAUCAACUUUCCGUCAAAAUCAAAAUCCGUCUGGAAAACACAGCCUAACUCGAUCGUCGCUGUAGCGAGUAAGGCCGCAAGAAAUUCCAGGUUUUCAUUCAACUUCGUCUUCUUCUAUAUAAGCAUUUCCAUUCCCUCUUCUUGUGCUGGCGCGAGGAUGCGAUUCGUCGCGACUUGGGGCCUGCAAAAGGCACUGCACCAAUGA